GCAACGAUGAAGCAAAGGAAACC
rnacentral:piRNA from 1 species